GUCCAUGCUGUAAACGUUGUGAACUUGACGUGGGUGGAUUUAACCCCUUCCGUGUCGGAGCUAACGCGAUAAGUUCACCGCCUGGGGACUACGGCCGCAAGGCUAAAACUCAAAGAAAUUGACGGGGGCCCGCACAAGCGGUGGAGCAUGUGGCUCAAUUCGAUGCAACGCGAAGAACCUUACCUAGAUUUGACAUAUACCUGACAGCUGUGGAAACACAGUCUUUCGCAAGAACAGGUAUACAGGUGCUGCAUGGCUGUCGU
rnacentral:rRNA from 1 species